UGCAUAGGGCGUCCGCCUCGGCAACGGUAGGUAGGCGGUUCGAAUCCUGCCGCCGGACACCCACCGGUUAAAAGGGCAAGGCGUCCCCCCUACCCGGCGCCCGGUUGUUUACGGGGUGAGUGAACGCCUGGGGAGUAUCCGCUAGCAGUUCCUCACCACUGCUGGCCACCACUUUCGAACGCUAACCCGUAAGGGUGGUUAUUCUGUCGUCCAUGUG
rnacentral:lncRNA from 1 species